rnacentral:rRNA from 1 species
GACGUAGGGAGCGAGCGUUGUCCGGAUUUAUUGGGCGUAAAGGGCCCGUAGGCGGCUUGGCAAGUCAGGUGUGAAACCUCCAGGCUCAACCUGGAGACGCCACUUGAUACUGCUAUGGCUUGAGUCCGGUAGGGGAGCAUGGAAUACCCGGUGUAGCGGUGAAAUGCGCAGAUAUCGGGUGGAACACCAGUGGCGAAGGCGGUGCUCUGGGCCGGAACUGACGCUGAAUGGCGAAAGCGUGGGUAGCAAACAGG